CCGUCUGCCUUGUCUUGCCCUGUCCAUCCGUCUGUCCGUCCGGGCCCCACCCCCAUCUGCCUCGUCCUGCCUUGUCCCGUCCAUCCGUCUGUCCGUCCGGGCUCCCACCACCUAUCUGUCUUGUUCUGCCUCGUCCCGUCCAACCGUCUGUCCGUCCGGGCCCCACCCCCGCCUGUCCUGCCCUGCCCUGUCCAUCCGUCUGUCCUUCCGGGCCCCACCUCCGGUCUGUCCUGUCCUGCCCAUCCGUCUGUCCGGCCAGGCCCCACCGCCAUCUGCCUUGUCCUGCCUUGUCCUGUCCAUCCGUCUGUCCGUCCGGGCCCCACCCCCGUCUGUCCUAUCCUGUCCAUCCGCCCGGAGCCCACCCCCCGUCCGUCCGUCCGUCCGGUCCCGUCCCGUCCAUCGGUGGGUCCGUGGGGCCGGGCCCCGCCCCCGGCCCGUCCGCCCGGCCCGCCUCCCCGGGGGAGGGAGGAGGACGACGACGACGACGACGACGAGGAGGGGGAGGAGGAAGAGACCCAGAGACGGGGGGACAGAGCCAGAGAGCCAGAGAGCCAGGGCCAGGGAGGGGGGCCGGAGCGGGGGCCGGGCGGCGGACACACAGGCGAGCCCCGGAGGGACACACAGGCGAGUGGACGGGCCGGAGGGGCCGGAGGGGGCGGGGGGCCGGGGACCCCCCCCAGUUCGGAAGGGAGGGAGCGGGGGUCGGGGCCCGGGGGAGGCCGGACCCCCAGGGCGGUCACCUCCCCCACCCCUUCCUCUCCCCCCCUCCCCCCAUCCCACUGCCCAGGGCCCGGCGGGGACACCACCAAGAAACACGCCCGGUGCCCAGGACUGGGGGAACUGGGGGGCCGGGGGGUCCCCAAACCGGGACUAGCCACUUUUCCGAUCUCUCCCUCUUCCCGGGAGGCGGCCCCCGCUCGCUCCCCACGUUUCUCCUUCUUCCCUUCCUCCCUCCUUGGCCCCCACUUCCUCCUCCUUUCUCUCCUCCUCCUUCUCUCGAUCCCCCCUCUCGCGGCUCCUUCCUCCCUCCUGGAUAAUAAUAUUAAUUAUAACGGCAUUUGUUAA
rnacentral:lncRNA from 1 species